rnacentral:lncRNA from 1 species
UGCUUCUUAAACAAGAUGUGUGCAUGAACUCUCUUAACUUGUAACAAAAUCCAGUAAAGACAAUCAAACUUUUCGUCUCUCCUGAAUCUCUCCUUUGCUGCAGCAAAAAAGAGCAUCAAGCCAGACUAGAUUUUGGCAUUACAUUGGCACCACAAGACUCUCAUGCACACAAUCAAUAAUGCUGCAUUUCUUUUUCUUUUUGUCUUUUACAUUUCCUGCAUGGUCAUAGUUAUCUCUUGGUGUAUAAAUAAUCAUCUUGGGCUACUUAACUAAACCAUAUUUACUAGUUACUACUCACUAACCAUUCCUCAGAAAAUGGACUCACUUGUGUUCACUAAGCUUUUCAUUUUACUUGCACUGAGUGCUAGUGUUGUGGCGACAGGAAAGGGUUCGAAACCUUGUGUCUUUCCUGCAAUAUACAACU